rnacentral:rRNA from 1 species
UACGGGGGGAGCAAGCGUUGUUCGGAUUUACUGGGCGUAAAGGGCGCGUAGGCGGCCACUGCAAUCCGGUUGUGAAAUCUCCGGGCUUAACCCGGAAAGGUCAAUCGAUACUGCAGGGCUAGAGUGCGGAAGGGGCAACUGGAAUUCUCGGUGUAGCGGUGAAAUGCGUAGAUAUCGAGAGGAACACCUGCGGCGAAGGCGGGUUGCUGGGCCGACACUGACGCUGACAGCGCGAAAGCUAGGGGAGCGAACGGG